rfam:Gossypium arboreum cultivar AKA8401 contig_26943_1, whole genome shotgun sequence.
CCUGGGGGAGCGUUUUGUCCACGUCAGCACAAAGCACUUUCUUGAAGGCGUACGUUGUGCUGACGUGGAUAAAACGCUCCCCUAGGA